GAUGAACCAGAAGCUGAAAGCGUUGAAGGAGGCGCAAAACCAAGCAAGACUGACACAGCAGAACCAACUUCUGGUAGUGACAUUGAACUAACCUCAAAGCCAUCAUCGGGCGAAUGAGAUCGAAGAUAUUGAUGCGACGAGCUAUCAACGAAGAGCACCGAGCCAGUAACCUCGCACCUAGCGAGAGGGAGGAUGAUUAACAGAGUGAAGAAGAUGAAGGAAUUGCAGAAUUCCAUCCUGGAGAGAAUCUGUGAACCCUGUGGUCGUCGAAAAACGAGAUGAAUCGGAAAUCG
rnacentral:misc_RNA from 1 species